rnacentral:tmRNA from 1 species
GGGGUCGACCGGUUUUGACAGUAAGUCGAAUUGAAAUGUAAGCAUGCCGAGCUAUGAAAUUAAUGCUCGAUAAUCUCUAUUUCAACCAUUUUAAAUGGCGAGAAUAACUACGCUCUUGCUGCCUGAUCUGAAUUAUAGUAAGAUUUUCGGCCACGUCCCUACAAGGUAGGGAGGCGAGAUGUCUCUGAAAAGCCCUUGUUGAUGGCGGUUCGUAAAGAGGCACCAUAAAAAUCAACAUCGAAGUAUCGUUGCUUCUGCGAUACUUCCAAAACUCACGAAGCUACGGAUACAGUAGGCGGUUUUUGGCCGGCUUUAUCCCGACAAUCAAGCAGAAACUAAGCAUGUAGAAAGCCUUUGAAUUGCUUAUUUGGACGAGAGUUCGAUUCUCUCCGACUCCACAA